UACGGAGGGUGCGAGCGUUGUCCGGAAUCAUUGGGCGUAAAGGGCGCGUAGGUGGCCACUUCAAGCGUGCGGUGAAAGCUCGGGGCUCAACCCCGCGUCGGCCGUGCGAACUGUUUUGCUUGAGCACUGUAGAGGCAGGCGGAAUUCCGGGUGUAGCGGUGGAAUGCGUAGAGAUCCGGAAGAACACCGGUGGCGAAGGCGGCCUGCUGGGCAGUAGCUGACACUGAGGCGCGACAGCGUGGGGAGCAAACAGG
rnacentral:rRNA from 1 species